rnacentral:misc_RNA from 1 species
CCGGGUCUUCGACUUGCCCGAAACCAAACGUGCACCUACGAUAUUAAUUCGCUGCGGCGGGCCGCUCGCUGGGGGAGCCGCCGGGCCGAGAGGCUGGCCCGCCAAAGCAGCGAGAGCAUUGAGCUCUUGAAACUUGAAGCCGAGGCGCUCUGAAAAUUAUCUUCUGAAGCACCACGUGAGCCGCCCCGCAAGGGUGACGGCGAAACGACUAGUUA